rnacentral:misc_RNA from 1 species
GGAACUCCGAAAUGGUAUAAUUUUCUCUGUAAUUUACGACGAUAGUAAGCUACGCCGCGUCGUGGAACGAAAUGGCGAUCGUACAAAAUCAAAUGAAGGUCUCAUGAUACGGUGCCGCUCCCAGGUGAAUACAAUGUCAUGUGGAUGCGAAGGGCUCCGAAGUUGUUUUGUGUCAUUCCUCGGAAAUUAGACCAGGAUAAUUCACUUAUUUUGGAGGAUGUCGCCCCUGUGGAAGAUACUCGUACGGGCAGCUGCCAGAAGUCCGCCAGUGAGGGUGAUCAGACCCUUCGCCGUCAUUCGUCACUUUUGGAUCUAGUGCAGUCCUGGGAUAUCUCCCGGCCAACACAAAAUUUCGGUUGUCCCAGCAUGGAGUUCGUUUACUCCCUGCAGGAGUGUCUCAGGUAUGUGGCGGACAAGAAUCUCAUAUGAAUACAGAUGGACAGAAGACUGACACAGAACAGAGUUGCCAAGCCCAAGCCAAUGGUCAGCUGCACAGCUGAGUAUAGAAGAGGGGAGACUGAUAGAGUGCUUAAUAUAUCUUCAGCACAACACGAGGUCAACGAUCAGGUCAGGUACUGAUGGCAUCUGUUUUUCGACUGAUCCUGGAGAAAGCAUGUAUAGAAGGAGAAAGCAGCUUUGACGCUAUUAACAGUAAAUACGUGCACAACAUCUGCAGUGACUCUGAAGAUAGAUGGUGGACCUAGCUGUUCAACGGUAGAGCCUAAAGACAUUUUUACCAAUAUAACUCCCAUACACGACAAAUUGUGGACCUAACUGAGAUUUGAAAUCUACUGGAAUCAAGCUAUUCAAUCUGAGAAUAGUUAGAUGCCUACCAUAUAGCGUAUUAAAACACUGAACGCUGUCUCAUAAUAAACAAUCUUUGUGGUUCAGAUGCACGAAAACCUUCAGUUAAUAUGGACUAUAAAGAAACAAGUCAAAGUGGAGACAACUUUAAACAAUGGACACAUUAAACACAAUGAUGAAGAAUCUGGAUUUAGCUUGAUGAUAAAAUGUCUAUGCGGUGCGAUCGGUCGCAGGAUGGAUUACCCUUAUGGACUCAUUGGGCUUUUUCUGGGUACACCUGGUGCAUCAAUAAUGCAUUAAUAAAGUGUGCAGUGUGUGUUGUCCUAUCCUGAACUGUAUAGAUUUCUGGAAAAAGGCAGUUCAAGCUUCUCAAAGAAAUUAUCAGACUUCAUCUGAACUGAACUGAACGCCAAUGAACAGAAUUGAACGGGCGUGGGAUGGACGUACCGGAUCCUCUUUUGGAUGUAGGCAAGCUAAUACAGUAAUAGAAAGAAAGAACUGAACUUCAAAAGUGUUCAUUUAUACCGGUAUUUAGUUCAGCACGAGGUUUACGAGUUUACAUCCAAUGAAAUGGUUCCUAAAGAGAUUAAAAUUAUCAGACCUCAACUGAACUGAAAACCAGUGAACAGAACUGAACUGAACUGAACGUGUGCUUCAACAGUGUUCCUCCAUAUUUAGUGUAGCACAGGAAGUGCAAGACUAUCUUCUAGUGGAAACAUUUUCUGUGCUGGCUGCUAGUAGUGAAGCCACUAUAGGAUGUAUACAUUAUAAGAAAACAUUAAAUGUUCUUACAAAUGUGUUGUCAGAAACCUCUGUUCUUUGUGCCAUGGUGCUGGGUUGCCUUUUAUGGAAAAAAAACUAUGUUACAGAACAAAGUAGAAUGGAAUUCAUGAACGCGUGUGAAAUCAAAUCAACGGGUGCUCGCAUAGGACGCAUAUGUAUGUUUGGAUAAAAAGUAGUUGAAAAUGCAAGAGGGGUUUAUCCAGUAGAAACAUUUUAAAUACUAGAUGUUGAUCCGACAUAUAAUAAUAAUAUUAGUAGUAGUAGUAGUAGUUGUAGUAGUAGUGUUGGUAGUAGUAGUGCUAGUAGUGGUAGUGUAGUAAUAAUUAUUGUUGUUUAAUACUUGUGUUGUUUAUUAUGAUGGUAAUGGUGGUUAUAUAAUAAUAAUAAUAAUAAUAGUAAUAAUAAUAAUAAUAAUAAUAAUAAUUUUGUUUUAUUUUAAAUUUGCAGCUAGUAUUUAGUCCUUUCUGGAAGAAUUUGCUACAGUAAACUUCAUAUCCUUAUAAGCUGAUAUAAACUCAAGCAUUUACACGUGCAGUCAUAUUACUGCAGUCAUAUUUGACAUUGCCUUGAUAAAUCUGCUUUGUAGUUUUGACCUUUGUUUAAUAAAUGCCUUUUACAUUCGCA